rnacentral:tRNA from 1 species
GUUCUCGUAGCUCAAUCGGAUAGAGCGUUGGCCUCCGAAGCCAAAGGUUGGUGGUUCGAUUCCACUCGGGAACG